GACGAACGCUGGCGGCGUGCUUAACACAUGCAAGUCGAACGGAAAGGCCUCUUUCGGGGGGUACUCGAGUGGCGAACGGGUGAGUAACACGUGCGUAACCUGCCCUUGUCUUUGGGAUAACUUCAGUAAACUGGGGCUAAUACCGGAUAGGAGCUCCUGCUGCAUGGUGGGGGUUGGAGAGUUUCGGCGUCUGGGGGUGGACUCGCGGCUUAUCCGCUUGUUGGUGGGGUAGUGGCUUACCAAGGCGUUGACGGGUAGCCGGCCUGUGAGGGUGACCGGCCACAUUGGGACUGAGGUACGGCCCAGACACCUACGGGAGGGAGCAGUGGGGAAUAUUGCACAAUGGGUGGAAGCCGGAUGCAGCAACGCCGUGGGCGGGAUGACGGCCUUCGGGGUGUAAACCGCUUGCGCACAUGACGAAGCUUUGUGUGACGGUAGUGGGUAAAGAAGCACCGGCUAACUACGUG
rnacentral:rRNA from 1 species